GGGGCAUAGGGUAUUGGUCAUAGGUGGAGGAGGAGCAGUAGGUUUCUCUGCAAUUCAGCUUGCUGUGGCUGCAGGCUGCCAUGUUUCUACUACGUGUGGAGGAGAGAGUAUAAGUCGCAUUUUAGCAGCCGGUGCUGAGCAGGCCAUUGACUAUACCAGUGAGGAUGCUGAAGUAGCACUUAAGGGGCAUUUUGAUGCUGUCUUGGAUACAAUUGGUGUGCCAGAUACAGAGAGAAUGGGCAUUAGCCUUUUAAAGAAAGGUGGACACUACAUGACGUUACAGGGGGAGGCUGCAUCGGUGACUGAUAGGCAUGGACUAGCUAUUGGUCUUCCUAUGGCAGCAGCCAUCUUGCUGAAGAAGCAAAUCCAAUAUCGAUAUUCUCAUGGAAUAGAA
rnacentral:misc_RNA from 1 species